rnacentral:lncRNA from 1 species
GAUAGAGAACGAAUUAUAGUUGGUCGAGUAGUCGUGGCUAUUCUUGUUGGUAUCAGUUUGUUGUGGCUACCUGUCGUUAAAGGUUUUGCUGGAAGCCAGCUGUUUGUGUAUCUCCAGAACAUCCAGUCGUACCUGGCACCGUCGAUCUCGUCGAUGUUCCUCUUGGGAAUCUUGUGGACUGGACUCACGGAAUAUGGAGCGGUAGCUGGACUCUUGGUCGGGUUUAGUAUGGGAAUUGUCAAGUUCAUUGUGGAGAAUGUGUACACACGGCCACAUUGCGGCGAGGAGGACACACGACCAGGGUUUGCCAAGCUUCGUUUUAUGUAUUAUUGUAAGUAAUCUUCGAAAAUCCUUAAAACUGAAUUGAAAAAUCUUAAAGCUAACCCGUGCAGAAAAUUUGCUGUUAAGAAAUCAUCAGCCUUAGUCGGUUUUCAUGCGGGUUCUCAAUCCUGGUCGAACUGGAAUUUGGAGCGGAUGUUGGUUUUGUGGAGGGAGGAAAACCGGAGAAGCCGGCGCAAAACACUCGGAGCUGAGGCGAGAACCAACAACAAACUCAACUCACAUAUGACACCGAGCCGGCAUCGAGCCCGUAUAAUGUCAACAAAUAAAACUGUAUUAACGCUAUUUUUCUUUAUAUUUCAGCCAAUAUUCUGUUCAUCAUCAGUGUACUGACAAUGGUAGUGGUUAGCUUCUUUACCAAAGAAAUUCCACGAGACGAGCUCGGUGGCUUGACUUGGCCCACCAUUAAUGACCCUCCUAUCUCACAUGGAGCCAUUGGCGAGAACGUCGAGAAAGGAAACGAUGAGAAAACCGAAAACAGGGAAAUACAGAUAAAGGGCCAGACUGAAUCCAAUCUGCCUGAUACACCGUCUGCUUCUAUGGCAGUGUUUCACCCCAAGGAAAAAACAGAGAGGGUAUUCCUACCUGUAGUUCAGUUCCCAGUUGAAGAGCCCUGGUUGAAAUGGCUUUUACGAAUAAUGACUGUAGUGUUGAUCAUAUCUCUGAUUGGACUGUGGAUAAGAUUCGCGUAGAAGACAAGAACUUAAAGGAGCUACGUCAUGGUUUGUGCAUCUUGAAAAGUUUAGCCUAAAUUUUUCAAGUUCGUCGUUUGUAAUCCGUGUCAAUCUUUGCCAUCCUUGUUCCUUUAUGGUUUAUUAUUAUCUCUUCGGUGUUUUGCCAUCUCAGUAAAUUACUGUGCUACACAUUUCCUUCAACUGAAGGGUAAAUACCGUGACUGAGCUCCUUUAAGGGACACUUAAAUACAACUAGUCGCUUUCUAGAAUGAAACCUUUUAUACAGCUAGCUUAAUUAGACCUUCGCGCGGAGUUAGUUUAAGACUAGAUUUGCAGUACAUGUAACUCGGAAUUAUCAGGCAAAUUUAGCGCACUUCAGAGAUGUUAGGGUAUCAGCUUUUCAAGCUUGGUCGUUCCGUUUUUAAUGUUCCCAGGUUUACCUGGACUAUCCUUAUUCUGUACAGACUUAAAGGACGCAAAACAAGUAAGCGUGUGAGCGUGACGUGCGAGCGGCGAUGCCGCGAGCCGCUGGUAGCGCACGCUCCCAGUCCGCCUUACACGUCGCUUACUUGUUUUGUGUUCUUCCCCGCGGAUUUUCCAGGAAAAGAGACUGCUCGCAGUCUACACAGACUUAUCUUAUUCUCUCUGGUGCUUGUCUAAUAUAUGUUCGUCAAACCUUUGGGUGGUGUCGCCACAAUAUGCAAACUGUCAGAACAGUGGGUCACAAGAUCUACAUAGAAUCUUUGAUACACAAAUCAAAGCACAGGGAGCACUCUUGUUGUAUUCAACUUUAAUUACUCGUUCACGUAAAAACUACAUUAUUUGUCACUCCCUUAAUUACAUGAGACUUAAUUAAGGUCUUCCAAUAGAUAAAUGGGGUAGUCCCGUGUACACCGGUUCGAUAAUCUAUAACCAAUAAAAUAAUCUACUUUACAUGGCUUCAUGGCGGCCAUAUUGACUUUACUAAAAAUGAAAUUUCUCUCCCUUACGAAAAUGAUUCACUUUCUCAUGCAAAAAUUUCAUGUUGCAGCAUUACUAAUAUGGCCGCUGUGAAACCGCCCCGGCUCUAUUCACGCCGACCAGAUAUGUUAAAAUAAGUUUUUAAAACAAAUAAAACUGGGUCCUAGAGAGUAAAUAAGCGGACGUGAUUGUCCAAAAAUCUUUAUAUUGAAGAUUACCGUGUCACGUUUACUUGACAAAGCUUUUGAUCAAUUUUUGACGUUUUAGCAACUUUCUGACACUUCCAUGGCUUCCGUUCAAACUGGCUAAGUUAAGUUGCAAGAACUGGUGGACACAGCUGUCAAUUGUCAGAACGAGGAGAAGCUUGACAACUUUGCCUUUGGAAGACGUUUUUGCAUUUCGAUCCGCCAUUUGAAAGAAAACGCAUCGAAAGCUGCCUAAAAAUUGCAAGUAAAAAAAUUCGAAAAAAUUCCGAAUACCUUGUCAAACGUUAUGGCAAACUUCACUAUAACUAACCGUCCACCAAAAUUAACAAUAUUGAUCACACACCGUUAAAUAAAUGCAAGAUCAAUAAGAUCUUCUAACAAAUACCGAGAAUACUUGUUUAUACUGGACAGCUAACCUACGCGUACCAAAUAAACGAAGUUCAUACGAUGACAUGGUAGUCAUGCUGGUGUUCAAAAACAGUGGGAAUUCUCCUCUUUUGGAAAUGCGUUUUUUUCUUAUGCAAACAAUUCCUCUUGCUAAGAAACACUCGCAUGCCCGCUGCGAAAACGCUCUAUUCGCACUAACCUACAUACCUUCUAACUAAGGUUCUAAAAAUACUAAAACUAGAUCUUGUAGAUGGGCAUAUGAAGAAAUGAUUCACCAAAGAUAUGAAAUUAUUUUAAACAGACCGAGAGAAGUCCCAAAAGAGUAGUUUUGUAAGGUAUAAAGAUGCUGGGAGGGUAUUUAGGUAUUCAAACCACGUACGAUGAUUAAGAUGUUUUAGGAUUAGCAUGGAUUAGCAUGGAUUAAAAUUAGCUCGCCAGUUGAAUCAACUGUAGGAAUGCAAAGGUCUAUUGCGACUUUCAGCCAGAGAAAACAAUAUGAAACUCACAUUUGACCUACGUUGCAUAGCACCAAAUCAAAACUUAUUCUGUAGAAGUUAAGUUACUCAAUUGUUCCUUGCUGGAAUUCCAAUUUUUUGAGCUUCAAAAUGUUUUCUGUUGACAUGUCUUCU